rnacentral:rRNA from 1 species
GACGAACGCUGGCGGCGUGCUUAACACAUGCAAGUCGAACGGAAAGGCCCUGCUUUUGUGGGGUGCUCGAGUGGCGAACGGGUGAGUAACACGUGAGUAACCUGCCCUUGACUUUGGGAUAACUUCAGGAAACUGGGGCUAAUACCGGAUAGGAGCUCCUGCUGCAUGGUGGGGGUUGGAAAGUUUCGGCGGUUGGGGAUGGACUCGCGGCUUAUCAGCUUGUUGGUGGGGUAGUGGCUUACCAAGGCUUUGACGGGUAGCCGGCCUGAGAGGGUGACCGGCCACAUUGGGACUGGGAUACGGCCCAGACUCCUACGGGAGGCAGCAGUGGAGAAGAGUGCACAGUGGGCGGAAGCCUGAUGCAGCAACGCCGCGUGCGGGAUGACGGCCUUCGGGUUGUAAACCGCUUUCGCCUGUGACGAAGCGUGAGUGACGGUAAUGGGUAAAGAAGCACCGGCUAACUACGUG